rnacentral:rRNA from 1 species
UACGUAGGAGGCAAGCGUUGUCCGGAAUCACUGGGCGUAAAGCGCGUGUAGGUGGUACGACAAGUCUGCUGUGAAAGCGCCUGGCUUAACCGGGCGAGGUCGGCGGAAACUGUCGCACUCGAGGACGGUAGAGGGGGGUGGAAUUCCCGGUGUAGUGGUGAAAUGCGUAGAGAUCGGGAGGAACACCUGUGGCGAAGGCGGCCCC